rnacentral:lncRNA from 1 species
CCGGUGCCCUCACGCUCGGCCGCCAUGUUGGCCGUGGCUGUGGCCGGGCCCGGGCCCCGCCGUGUCUCUCGGUUCCUCCGGGCAGGGGGUGACAGGCGUGUUGAGGCCACCUCGGAGCCCCUCGCAGGUACCUCGGUGCCGCAGGAGCGCGUUUUCCCUGUCAGCAACCCUCCAAAGACUCGCCGAUUACAUUGCUCUUGCCUCCGGAAGCUGAGACAUUCUACUGAUUUUUUUUUCCUUGUCUAAGACUCCGUCGCCCUUUCCUGGAGAAGGAUGAUCUUGGUGGAAGGAGCCCAGCUUGGUGUGGUCCUCAUUCCUGCUGUUAUGUGUGAAGAGAGAUGGAGAGAAAUACAUCCAGAAGCCCAGAGAUGGUCAUGGAACACGGGCAACAUGUCCAAAGUAAUCCCAUCUGCAGGAGCCUACAAGAAGCCAUUCUUCCUCCUGGAGCCUAAAAAGGAGAACGAUUUCCUUUACCAGCAGUCUCAUGGCUCCAGGCAGGUGAAAAUGCCCUCGGCCUGGAACCGGAUCCUCCUCUCCGAGAGUGGAUGUUUGGAGAAGGGGUUUGCUCCCAUCCCUGUGACUUCCCAGCUGCCUGGAUGCAGGAGCAGCACUGCUGGGCUGCCUCAGGCCCCCUGCAGGUGGGGAAGGAUGAAGAACCGCGCUGGGGACAGUGAGGAGGGACCGUGGAGCUGGGUGAGUGUUGUCAAAGAUCUUCACACUAUAAAAACUUCCUUUUUGUUUCUUUAAGGAAUUUUAAUGGAUUUUGUACACUGGAGUAACAACUUCUCAACACUGUGCUAUGAAGCCAGAGUACAGAAGCCUGAGGUUUCAGUGGUCAGCCUGGGCUUCCAGCUCUUGUCAUAAAAUCCCAGAAUGGUGUGGGGUUGAAAGGGACCUGAAAGAUGAUCCAGUGCCACCACCUGGAGGACACGGGCAGGGACACCUCCCACUAUCCCAGGUUGCUCCAAGCCCCAUCCAACCUGGCCUUGGGCACUGCUAGGGAUCCAGGGGCAGCCACAGCUUCUCUGGACACCCUGUGCCAAGGUCUCCCCACUCUCACAGGGAACAAUUUAUCCCAAUAGCCCACCUGACCCUGCCCUGUGGCAGUGGGAAGCCAUUGUCCUGUUCCUCCAGCCCUUGUCCAAAGUCCCUCUCCAGUUUUCUUGGAGCCCCCC